GCGCGGAGGCGGGGGUGCUGCGCGCGCUGGGGAGCACGUGGGGGGACACGCAGGGACUGCCCGCGCGAAUGGCUUCCAACGCAUGCGCCCCACCCUACAUUUCACAGUCGCCAUGACGACCAGGAGGUCCGCUAGUCAACGGCUCGUCAACGGCUGCGGGGACAAGUCCGUUGAGGCUGCCAGGCGAGUCAGGCCUUUCUGGACCUCGCCUGACUCGGCUGGGCUGUGCCUGAAAUUGACCCAGCUCCACUAGGAAUUAUGAAGAAACAAGGAGUAAGCCCAAAGCCGCUGCAAUCUUCCCGCCCCAGCCCGUCUAAGCGGCCCUGCGGGGCCUCCCCCGCCCGGGAGCGGGAGGUGGAAAAGUCGGCCCUAGGCGGCGGGAAACUGCCGGGGGGCGCCAGGAGGUCCUCCCCGGGGAGGAUCCCAAAUCUGAAAAAGCGAAAAGGCUUGGAGCUAAAGGUGGUGGCCAAGGCCCUUCUCGGCCCCUUCCAGUUCGUCUGUAAUUCCCUGGCGCAGCUCCGGGAAGAGGUGCACGAACUGCAGGCGCGGUGGUUCCCCAGCAGAACCACUCUGCAUCGGGGAAUUGAAAACAAGGAAUUCCCCAACCAAACAGGGGCACAGGCUGUGUUUGCAGCUCCUGUAAAAGCUCCAUACCCAGAGCCGUGUCUCCCAGCUCCCAGCCGUCUUUGUGGCAAUUCUACAUUGGUUACAUUUAGUAACACUUUUUGAAAAUGAUCAUCAUUUCUCUCACCUCUCAUCUUUGGAACGGGAGAUGACUUUUUGCAUUGAAACGGUUAGGUUUCUUCUUCUAACGAAUUAAUUUGUGGUUUAAGAAUAGCCAGACCGAGAGGUGACAGCAUGCUGGCAGUCCUCAGAGCCCUUGCUUGCUCUCGGCACCUCCCCUGCCUGGGCUCCCGCUUUGGUGGCAUUUGAGGAGCCCUUCAGUCCCCCACUGCACUGUGGGAGCCCCUUUCUGGGCUGGCCAAGGCCGGAGCCCACUCCCUCAGCUUGCAGGGAGGUGUGGAGGGAGAGACACGAGCGGGAACCGGGGCUGUGUGCUGCACUUGCGGGCCAUCUGGAGUUCCGGGUGGGCGUGGGCUUGGUGGGCCCCGCACUCAGAGCAGCCAGCCAGCCCUGCUGGCCCCGGGCAAUGGGGGACUUAGCACCUGGGCCAGUGGCUGCGGAGGGUGUACUGAGUCCCCCAGCAGUGCUGGCCCACCGGCGCUGCGCUCGAUUUCUCGCUGGGCCUUGGCUGCCUUCCCACGGGGCAGGGCUCGGGACCUGCAGCCCGCCAUGCCUGAGCCUCCUACCCAAUCCAUGGGCUCCUGUGCGGCCUGAGCCUCCCCGACGAGCACCACCCCCUGCUCCACGGCGCCCAGUCCCAUCGACCACGCAAGGGCUGAGGAAUGCGAGCGCCCGGCACAGGACUGGCAGGCAGCUCCACCUGCAGCCCCAGUGCAGGAUCCACUAGGUGAAGCCAGCUGGGCUCCUGAGUCUGGUGGGGACGUGGAGAGUCUUUAUAUCUAGCUCAGGGAUUGUAAAUACACCAAUCAGCACCCUGUGUUUAGCUCAAGGUUUGUGAGUGCACCAGUCAACACUCUGUAUCUAGCUGCUCUGGUGAGGGCGUGGAGAGUCUUUAUGUCUAGCUCAAGGAUUGUAAAUACACCAAUCAGCACUCUGUGUCUAGCUCAAGGAUUGUAAAUACACCAAUCGGCACUCUGUAUCUAGCUCAAGGUUUGUAAACACACCAAUCAGCACCCUGUGUUUAGCUCAAGGUUUGUGAGUGCACCAGUCGACACUCUGUAUCUAGCUGCCCUGAUGGGGACGUGGAGAACCUUUGUAUCUAGCUCAGGGAUUGUAAACGCACCAAUCAGCGCCCUGACGAAACAGGCCACUCGGCUCUACCAAUCAGCAGGAUGUAGGUGGGGCCAGAUAAGAGAAUAAAAGCGGGCUGCCCGAGCCAGCAUUGGCAACCCGCUCGGGUCCCCUUCCACACUGUGGAAGCUUUGUUCUUUCGCUCUUUGCAAUAAAUCUUGCUACUGCUCACUCUUUGGGUCCACGCUGCUUUUGUGAGCUGUAACACUCACCAUGAAGAUCUGCAGCUUCACUCCUGAGCCCAGCGAGACCACGAGCCCACCGGGAGGAACGAACAACUCCAGACACGCCACCUUAAGAGCUGUAACACUCACCGCGAGGGUCCACCGCUUCAUUCUUGAAGUCAGUGAGACCAAGAACCCACCAAUUCCGGACACAAGACUAUGAGGGACUUUAUUAUUCUUACUUCAAGACCAUUAUUGAAGCACCUUCAUUUUUGGGAGGACUGUGGAUGAUUAUGAAUGACAGGCUUACUGAAUAUCCUCUUGUAAUUAAUGCAGUAAAACGCUUCCAUAUUUAUCCAGAGGUAAUCAUAGCCUCCUGGUAUCGCACAUUCAUGGGAAUAGUGAAUUUAUUUGGACUAGAAACUAAGACCUGCUGGAAUGUCACCAGAAUAGAACCUCUUAAUGAAGUUCAAAGCUGUGAAGGAUUGCGAGAUCCUGCUUGCUUUUAUGUUGGUGUAAUCUUUAUUUUAAAUGGACUAAUGAUGGGAUUGUUCUUCAUAUAUGGAACAUACCUAAGUGGUACUGAACUGGGAGGUCUUAUUACAGUACUGUGCUUCUUUUUCAACCAUGGAGAGGCCACCUGUGUGAUGUGGACACCACCUCUCCGUGAAAGUUUUUCCUAUCCUUUCCUUGUACUUCAGAUGUAUGUUUUAACUUUGAUUCUCAGGACCUCAAGCAAUGAUAGAAGGCCCUUCAUUGCACUCUGUCUUUCCAAUGUUGCUUUUAUGCUUCCCUGGCAAUUUGCUCAGUUUAUACUUUUUACACAGAUAGCAUCAUUAUUUCCCAUGUAUGUUGUGGGAUACAUUGAACCAAGCAAAUUUCAGAAGAUCAUUUAUAUGAACAUGAUUUCAGUUACCCUUAGUUUCAUUUUGAUGUUUGGAAAUUCAAUGUACUUAUCUUCUUAUUAUUCUUCAUCUUUGUUAAUGACAUGGGCAAUAAUUCUAAAGAGAAAUGAAAUUCAAAAACUGGGAGUAUCUAAACUCAACUGCUGGCUAAUUCAAGGUAGUGCCUGGUGGUGUGGAACAAUCAUUUUGAAAUUUCUGACAUCUAAAAUCUUAGGCGUUUCAGACCAUAUUUGCCUGAGUGAUCUUAUAGCAGCCGGAAUCUUAAGGUAUACAGAUUUUGAUACUUUAAAAUACACCUGUUCUCCCGAAUUUGACUUCAUGGAAAAAGCGACUCUGCUGAUAUACACAAAGACAUUAUUGCUUCCAGUUGUUAUGGUGAUUACAUGUUUUAUCUUUAAAAAGACUGUUGGUGAUAUUUCGCGUGUUUUAGCUACAAACGUUUAUCUAAGAAAACAGCUCCUUGAACACAGUGAGCUGGCUUUUCACACAUUGCAGUUGUUAGCAUUUACUGCCCUUGCCAUUUUAAUUUUGAGGCUAAAGCUGUUUUUGACACAGCACAUGUGUGUUAUGGCUUCCUUGAUAUGCUCUUGACGGCUCUUUGGCUGGCUUUUUCGCAGAGUUCGCAGAGAGAAUGUUAUCUUUGGCAUUCUAACAGUGAUGUCAAUACAAGGUUAUGCAAACCUCUGUAAUCAAUGGAGCAUAACAGGAGAAUUUAAUGAUUUGCCUCAGGAAGAACUUUUACAGUGGAUCAAAUACAAUACCGUACCAGAUGCUGUCUUUGCAGGUGCCAUGCCUACAAUGGCAAGUGUCAAGCUGUCUACACUUCAUCCCAUUGUGAAUCAUCCACAUUACGAAGAUGCAGACUUGAGGGCUUGGACAAAAAUAGUUUAUUCUACAUAUAGUGGAAAAUCUGCCAAAGAAGUAAGAGAUAAAUUGUUGGAGUUACAUGUGAAUUAUUAUGUUUUAGAAGAGGCAUGGUGUGUUGUGAGAACUAAGCCUGGUUGCAGCAUGCUUGAAAUCUGGGAUGUGGAAGACCCUUCCAAUGCAGCUAACCCUCCCUUAUGUAGCGUCCUCCUUGAGCCGAGAUUGUGCCACUGCACUCCAGCCUGGGCGACAAAUCAAGACCCCGUCUCC
ensembl:lncRNA DPY19L2P2 DPY19L2 pseudogene 2